UGGCACACCUGAAGCACCACCUGCGAG
rnacentral:misc_RNA from 1 species